rnacentral:rRNA from 1 species
UACGGGGGGUGCGAGCGUUGUCCGGAAUCACUGGGCGUAAAGGGCGCGUAGGUGGUCUUAUAAAGGUGUGGUGAAAGCCCGGGGCUCAACCCCGGGUCGGCCGUGCCGACUGUAAGACUAGAGUGCUGUAGGGGCAGGCGGAAUUCCUGGUGUAGCGGUGGAAUGCGCAGAUAUCAGGAGGAACACCAACGGCGAAGGCAGCCCGCUGGGACGGUACUGACGCUAAGGCGCGAAAGCGUGGGGAGCGAACAGG